rnacentral:rRNA from 1 species
AUGUUGGCUACUGUAAGAUUCCGAGUAUUCUGGGCCGCGGUGCCAAAGCAGUGCAGUGUUAAUCAAAGGAAGGGGGAUCAAUCGCCGGGUGUAGACCUCCACGAGCAUCCAGCUGCCGCGACCGUCGACGAGCACCAUCCAAGACGUGUUCAUGACGACCCAGUAGAUACCGUUAAUGUAGUUGAGGCUGACGGGGAUCGGAUCGCAGUCAAGGGUGUUGAUGCUCGCCACCCUAUGAUCGUUAUGCUGCGUGACAUGUCGUUUCUGAAGAUCAGGCGGCAUCAGCAAGCAAGGAGCUGGCUUAAAAAGCUCCGGCCUGAAGGCUUUGAGUAA